CCUACGGGGGACAGCAGUGAGGAAUAUUGGUCAAUGGGCGCGAGCCUGAACCAGCCAAGUCGCGUGCGGGAUGACGGUCCUAUGGAUUGUAAACCUCUUUUGUCGGGGAGCAAAAGACGCCACGUGUGGCGUUCCGAGAGUACCCGAAGAACAAGCAUCGGCAAACUCCGUGCCAGCAGCCGCGGUAAUACGGAGGCUGCGAGCGUUAUCCGGAUUUAUUGGGUUAAAAGGGUGCGCAGGCGGAAGAUAAAGGACGCGGUAAAAUGGAGGGGCUCAACCUCGUCCCGCCGUUGAAACUGGUAUUCUUGAGUGAGCGAGAAGUAUGCGGAAUGCGUGGUGUAGCGGUGAAAUGCAUAGAUAUCACGCAGAACUCCGAUUGCGAAGGCAGUAUACCGGCGCUCAACUGACGCUGAUGCACGAAAGUGUGGGUAUCGAACAGGAUUAGAUACCCGAGUAGUC
rnacentral:rRNA from 1 species